rnacentral:rRNA from 1 species
GACGAACGCUGGCGGCGUGCUUAACACAUGCAAGUCGAACGGAAAGGCCCUGCUUUUGUGGGGUGCUCGAGUGGCGAACGGGUGAGUAACACGUGAGUAACCUGCCCUUGACUUUGGAAUAACUUCAGGAAACUGGGGCUAAUACCGGAUAGGAGCUCCUGCUGCAUGGUGGGGGUUGGAAAGUUUCGGCGGUUGGGGAUGGACUCGCGGCUUAUCAGCUUGUUGGUGGGGUAGUGGCUUACCAAGGCUUUGAAGGGUAGCCGGCCUGAGAGGGUGACCGGCCUCAUUGGGACUGAGAUACGGCCCAGAGUCCUACGGGGGACAGAAGUGGGGAAUAUUGCACAGUGGGCGGGAGCCUGAGGCAGCAACGCCGCGUGCGGGAUGACGGCCUUCGGGUGGUAAACCGCUUUCGCUUGUGACGAAGCGUGAGUGACGGUAAUGGGUAAAGAAGCACCGGCUAACUACGUG